CAAGCAUCGAGCAUAUCCAUUUCUUCACUUUACCAUUUACAUUUCAAGCAGCUGCAAAAAAUUAGGUUAGGAAAGAAAAAGGCAUCAGUUCUGGGUUUCUUCAUUGGAUUCAGGUACAAGCAGAGAUGAGUUCGAUUUAUCGAUGGGUAUUGACUGGAUUUAAUCAGCGAGAAGAAUAAGGAGCUGAUGAUACAGGAUCUGUGUUGUUUUGGGUUGAGAUUCAAGCUAAUUACUUAAACUUUUCUCAACAACGUCGAUUGAAUUUGGGGGUUAUUUGACAGUGGAAAAUGAUUGAAUAGUAUGGUUGUUUUCGUGAGUUGCAGGCAGUGGUAGUUGUUGUUACAGAAAUUUGGGGGUUUUGGUUUUCAAAGACGAGAUAGAACAUGGAAGUAAUGAUGAGUGUGUUGACAGUAUGGGGUACGAAUCGCUGAAGAGUUGGGACAUAUUUGAGCUGAAUUUGAUACCGGUGAAUCAGACCCAAGACCUGAUUUGGAUGAGAUGGCUGCCAAUGAUUCAUGGCUGAAAUUGAUGGGUUUUGUAUGAAAGGUUUGCUGGGGUAAUGGUUAAAUGGUUGUAUGAUUUCAGUUCAACAUCAUCAUCUGAAUUUUAGAGGUUUGUUUACAUGGGUUGUUGAAUCAGUGGUGUAGGGCUAUGAUGGUUGCUGUUGAUGGGAAAUUUUGGUUGAUGUUUACAUUGAAUGAAUUGUGAGAAAUUACAGAAAGAGGGUUGUUUAUAUCGAGUCAAAUACAGGUCACUGAUUUCAGCUGUUGUAAGCAGAAAUACGAGGAAGAGAUAAAAAUAUGUGGAGUGAUUUUCCCCCAAUCCAGGAAGGGUUUGAAUCAAUCAUUCGAGAUGGGUGUGUUGUGUACCAAAUGGGGAGAUAAUAAGGGUUGAUUUCAAUCCUUUAGGCAUGAAAAUAUGGUUGAAUCCAGACUACAAAUCAGAGAACAAGUCACGACAUUGGUGUAUAAAGCAAGAAGAAGAAUCAACCAAAAAGGGGAUAGCUCUAAAGACUUGGUGACAUUGGGAGCUGGUUAUGGUUGUAGGAAACAUGUGUUGAUUGUUUUAAAUAUGGGUAGGCUGAGAUCUGGCCAAAAUCACAGCUGUUUGGGUAACAUUGUAUCUGUUUCUUGCCUCUCUCUUAGUCUCAUAUUGUUGCUGCUUUGCUUUCUUGUCUAUUUAGUCUUGAUUGGUUGUUGGGUUUCUUUACAAGUGUAUGCAAUAUUCUAGGUCUGAUCAUUUUAAUGAUUGGGUAACUAUCAUCGUUUUGCUAAUAGGGUAUUAGAGAAUCACCCUAGUCAUCCAAUGGCAGAUGAAGCGUCUAGAGAAGCUGCGAGAUUAGCGGCUGAGGCUGAAGCUGCUAGAAUAGCUGUUGAAGCCGCAUCCAAUGCUAAUGGACCUAGAACCCUUAGGGAUUAUUUGCAUCCAGAAAGAACUUCUACAUCUUCUUGUAUAUUUCUUACGGCUAAUGCUGGAAAUGUAUCGAUAAAAUAUGGGCAGAUACAAGCACUGCCUAAGUUUCAUGGUUUGGACUCCGAAAGUCUAUACAUACAUUUGAAAGAAUUUGAUGAUGUUUGUGCUACUAUGCCUUUUGUUGCUGCGACUCAAGAUGUCGUGAAACUGAAAUUGUUUCCAUUUUCUCCAAAGGAGAAAGCUAA